rnacentral:rRNA from 1 species
GAUGAACGCUGGCGGCGUGCUUAACACAUGCAAGUCGAACGAAGUGGCGAACGGGUGAGUAACGCGUCAUCAACCUGCCCUUCAGAGGGGGACAACAGUGGGAAACGACUGCUAAUACCGCAUACUGAAGGUGGGGAUUGCGUCUGAUUAGCUAGUUGGGGGGGUAACGGCCUACCAAGGCGUUGAUCAGUAGCCGGGCUGGGAGGAUGGACGGGCACAUUGGGACCGGGACACGGCCCAGACUCCUACGGGAGGGAGCAGUGGGGAAUCUUUCGCAAUUGACGAAAGUCUGACGGAGCAACGCCGCGUGAGUGAUGACGGCCUUCGGGUUGUAAAGCUCUGUUAAUCGGGGCGCGGUACCGGAAUAGAAAGCCACGGCUAACUACGUGCCAGCAGCCGCGGUAAUUC